AGCCUUCUGAAUCCGUGUAGGGAUUUCUUUAAACACCAGACCAUCAAGGCUAAUGAAACUCUCAAGAUAAGUGAGGUG
rfam:Schistosoma mattheei strain Denwood, Zambia genome assembly, scaffold: SMTD_scaffold0007099